GACGAACGCUGGCGGCGUGCCUAAUACAUGCAAGUCGAGCGGAGCGGCGGACGGGUGAGUAAUGCCUAGGAAUCUGCCUGGUAUUGGGGGAUAACGUCCGGAAACGGGAGCUAAUACCGCAUACUAUCAGAUGAGCCUAGGUCGGAUUAUCUAGUUGUUGGGGUAAAGGCCUACCAAGGCGACGAUCAGUAACUGGUCUGAGAGGAUGAUCAGUCACACUGGAACUUAGACACGGUCCAGAUUCCUAAGGGAGGAAGCAGUGGGGAAUAUUGGAAAAUGGGCGAAAGCCUGAUCCAGCCAGGCCGCUUGUGUGAAGAAGGUCUGCGGAUUGUAAAGCACUUUAAGUUGGGAGGCGUUACCAACAGAAUAAGCAACGGCUAACUUCGUGCCAGCAGCCGCGGUAAUAC
rnacentral:rRNA from 1 species